rnacentral:misc_RNA from 2 species
GGCGCGUUUAUUCCAUUACUUUGGAGCCAGUCCCAGCGACUAUGUCGUAUGGACGAAGCGCUUAUUUAUCGGAGAGAAACCGAUAAGUAAAACGCAUCAAAGUCCUGCAGCAGAAAAUCAAA